AACGGACGCUGGCGGCAUGCCUAACACAUGCAAGUCGAACGAGACCUUCGGGUCUAGUGGCGCACGGGUGCGUAACGCGUGGGAACCUGCCCUUAGGUUCGGAAUAACUCCCCGAAAGGGGUGCUAAUACCGGAUAAUGUCUUCGGACCAAAGAUUUAUCGCCUUUGGAUGGGCCCGCGUUGGAUUAGCUAGUUGGUAGGGUAAAAGCCUACCAAGGCGACGAUCCAUAGCUGGUCUGAGAGGAUGAUCAGCCACACUGGGACUGAGACACGGCCCAGACUCCUACGGGAGGCAGCAGUGGGGAAUAUUGGACAAUGGGCGAAAGCCUGGUCCAGCAAUGCCGCGUGAGUGAUGAAGGCCUUAGGGUUGUAAAGCUCUUUUACCCGGGAUGAUAAUGACAGUACCGGGAGAAUAAGCUCCGGCUAACUCCGUG
rnacentral:rRNA from 1 species